AGUGAACGCUGGCGGUAGGCCUAACACAUGCAAGUCGAACGGCAGCACAGGAGAGCUUGCUCUCUGGGUGGCGAGUGGCGGACGGGUGAGGAAUACAUCGGAAUCUGCCCAGUCGUGGGGGAUAACGUAGGGAAACUUACGCUAAUACCGCAUACGACCUUCGGGUGAAAGAGGGGGAUCGCAAGACCUCUCGCGAUUGGAUGAGCCGAUGUCGGAUUAGCUAGUUGGCGGGGUAAUGGCCCACCAAGGCGACGAUCCGUAGCUGGUCUGAGAGGAUGAUCAGCCACACUGGAACUGAGACACGGUCCAGACUCCUACGGGAGGCAGCAGUGGGGAAUAUUGGACAAAGGGCGCAAGCCUGAUCCAGCCAUACCGCGUGGGUGAAGAAGGCCUUCGGGUUGUAAAGCCCUUUUGUUGGGAAAGAAAUCGUUCAGGCUAAUACCCUGGGAGGAUGACGGUACCCAAAGAAUAAGCACCGGCUAACUUCGUG
rnacentral:rRNA from 1 species